UCUACCCUACUGUGUACGCGAUGUGAUCGAAGUGUUUUGAGCCAACACGAAAGUUAAGGGGUCCUAUAUUGAUGGAGCUACGCGAUAGGCCUGAGCCAAGGCGAAACUCCUGAUGCGGACACCCAAUCUGCUCAAGCAGGUUCAAGACUCAAUCACACACGGCAUGGUGGGGUGUUU
rnacentral:other from 1 species